AGAGUUUGAUCAUGGCUCAGAUUGAACGCUGGCGGCAGGCCUAACACAUGCAAGUCGAACGGUAACAGGAAGCAGCUUGCUGCUUUGCUGACGAGUGGCGGACGGGUGAGUAAUGUCUGGGAAACUGCCUGAUGGAGGGGGAUAACUACUGGAAACGGUGGCUAAUACCGCAUAACGUCGCAAGACCAAAGAGGGGGACCUUCGGGCCUCUUGCCAUCAGAUGUGCCCAGAUGGGAUUAGCUUGUUGGUGAGGUAACGGCUCACCAAGGCGACGAUCCCUAGCUGGUCUGAGAGGAUGACCAGCCACACUGGAACUGAGACACGGUCCAGACUCCUACGGGAGGCAGCAGUGGGGAAUAUUGCACAAUGGGCGCAAGCCUGAUGCAGCCAUGCCGCGUGUAUGAAGAAGGCCUUCGGGUUGUAAAGUACUUUCAGCGGGGAGGAAGGUGUUGUGGUUAAUAACCACAGCAAUUGACGUUACCCGCAGAAGAAGCACCGGCUAACUCCGUGCCAGCAGCCGCGGUAAUACGGAGGGUGCAAGCGUUAAUCGGAAUUACUGGGCGUAAAGCGCACGCAGGCGGUCUGUCAAGUCGGAUGUGAAAUCCCCGGGCUCAACCUGGGAACUGCAUUCGAAACUGGCAGGCUUGAGUCUUGUAGAGGGGGGUAGAAUUCCAGGUGUAGCGGUGAAAUGCGUAGAGAUCUGGAGGAAUACCGGUGGCGAAGGCGGCCCCCUGGACAAAGACUGACGCUCAGGUGCGAAAGCGUGGGGAGCAAACAGGAUUAGAUACCCUGGUAGUCCACGCCGUAAACGAUGUCUACUUGGAGGUUGUGCCCUUGAGGCGUGGCUUCCGGAGCUAACGCGUUAAGUAGACCGCCUGGGGAGUACGGCCGCAAGGUUAAAACUCAAAUGAAUUGACGGGGGCCCGCACAAGCGGUGGAGCAUGUGGUUUAAUUCGAUGCAACGCGAAGAACCUUACCUGGUCUUGACAUCCACAGAACUUUCCAGAGAUGGAUUGGUGCCUUCGGGAACUGUGAGACAGGUGCUGCAUGGCUGUCGUCAGCUCGUGUUGUGAAAUGUUGGGUUAAGUCCCGCAACGAGCGCAACCCUUAUCCUUUGUUGCCAGCGGUCAGGCCGGGAACUCAAAGGAGACUGCCAGUGAUAAACUGGAGGAAGGUGGGGAUGACGUCAAGUCAUCAUGGCCCUUACGACCAGGGCUACACACGUGCUACAAUGGCGCAUACAAAGAGAAGCGACCUCGCGAGAGCAAGCGGACCUCAUAAAGUGCGUCGUAGUCCGGAUUGGAGUCUGCAACUCGACUCCAUGAAGUCGGAAUCGCUAGUAAUCGUGGAUCAGAAUGCCACGGUGAAUACGUUCCCGGGCCUUGUACACACCGCCCGUCACACCAUGGGAGUGGGUUGCAAAAGAAGUAGGUAGCUUAACCUUCGGGAGGGCGCUUACCACUUUGUGAUUCAUGACUGGGGUGAAGUCGUAACAAGGUAACCGUAGGGGAACCUGCGGUUG
rnacentral:rRNA from 1 species